UACAGGGGGUGCAAACGUUGCUCGGAAUUAUUGGGCGUAAAGAGCUCGUAGGCGGUCUGUUACGUCGGAUGUGAAAACCCGAGGCUUAACCUCGGGCCUGCAUUCGAUACGGGCAGACUCGAGUGUGGUAGGGGAGACUGGAACUCCUGGUGUAGCGGUGAAAUGCGCAGAUAUCAGGAAGAACACCGGUGGCGAAGGCGGGUCUCUGGGCCACUACUGACGCUGAGGAGCGAAAGCGUGGGGAGCGAACAGG
rnacentral:rRNA from 1 species